rnacentral:rRNA from 1 species
UGUGGAGGAUUCCGCACUGACGAGAAAAGCCACUAUUUAGGGAGAUGGUACCCGUACCGCAAACCGACACAGGUAGGUGAGGAGAGAAUCCUAAGACGAGCGGGAGAAGUGUUGUUAAGGAACUCGGCAAAUUAGCCUCGUAAGUUAGCGAGAAGGGGUGCCUGGGAGACCAGGCCGCAGUGAAGAGGCCCAAGCAACCGUUUAUCAAAAACACAGGUCUCUGCUAAAUCGAAAGAUGAAGUAUAGGGGCUGACGCCUGCCCGGUGCUGGAAGGUUACGUGGAUCCGUUAGAGCAAUCGAAGCGGUGAAACUAAGCCCCAGUAAACGGCGGCCGUAACGAUAACGGUCCUAAGGUAGCGAAAUUCCUUGUCGGGUAAGUUCCGACCCGCACGAAUGGCGUAAUGACUUGGGCACUGUCUCAACAACACACCCGGUGAAAUUGUAGUACUCGUAAAGAUGCGAGUUACCCGCGACAAGACGGAAAGACCCCAUGGAGCCUUACUGUAGCCUGAUACUGGGUUUUGAUAUUUUUUGUACAGGAUAGGUGGGAGACGGAGAAUCAUGGGCGCCAGCCUAUGAGGAGUCAACGUUGGGAUACCACUCUAAAAGUAUUGAAGCUCUAAUCAGAACUCUUGAAACAGGGUUUGGGACACUGUCAGGUGGGCAGUUUGACUGGGGCGGUCGCCUCCAAAAAGGUAACGGAGGCGUCCAAAGGUUACCUCAGCGCGGUUGGAAAUCGCGUUAACAGAGUGUAAAGGCAGAAGGUAGCCUGACUGCGAGACAAACAAGUCGAGCAGGUACGAAAGUAGGGCUUAGUGAUCCGGCGGUAUGAAAGUGGGAUUGCCGUCGCUUAACGGAUAAAAGCUACCCUGGGAUAACAGGCUUAUCUCCCCCAAGAGUCCAUAUCGACGGGGAGGUUUGGCACCUCGAUGUCGGCUCAUCGCAUCCUGGAGCUGAAGUAGGUUCCAAGGGUUUGGCUGUUCGCCAAUUAAAGCGGUACGCGAGCUGGGUUCAGAACGUCGUGAGACAGUUCGGUCCCUAUCUGUCGUGGGCGUAGGAUAUUUGAGAGGAGCUGUCCUUAGUACGAGAGGACCGGGAUGGACAGACCAAUGGUGCACCAGUUGUCACGCCAGUGGCACAGCUGGGUAGCCAAGUCUGGAAGGGAUAAACGCUGAAAGCAUCUAAGCGUGAAGCCCCCCUCAAGAUGAGAUAUCCCACCAUUUUAUAUGGAUAAGACCCCAUGAAGACUACAUGGUAGAUAGGCCAAAGGUGUAAGUGCAGUAAUGUAUUUAGCUGAUUGGUACUAAUAGGUCGAAGGCUUGACC